GAUGAACGCUGGCGGCGUGCCUAAUACAUGCAAGUCGAGCGAACGGACGAGAAGCUUGCUUCUCUGAUGUUAGCGGCGGACGGGUGAGUAACACGUGGAUAACCUACCUAUAAGACUGGGAUAACUUCGGGAAACCGGAGCUAAUACCGGAUAAUAUUUUGAACCGCAUGGUUCCAAAGUGAAAGACGGUCUUGCUGUCACUUAUAGAUGGAUCCGCGCUGCAUUAGCUAGUUGGUAAGGUAACGGCUUACCAAGGCAACCAUGCAUAGCCGACCUGAGAGUGUGAUCAGCCACACUGGAACUGAGACACGGUACAGACGCCUACGGGAGGCAGCAGUAGGGAAGCUUCCGCAAUGAGCGAAAGCCUGACGAAGCAACGCCGCGUGGGUGAUGAAGGUCUUCGGAUCGUAAAACUCUGUUAUUAGGGAAGAACAUAUGUGUAAGUAACUGUGCACAUCUUGACGGUACCUAAUCAGAAAGCCACGGCUAACUACGUG
rnacentral:rRNA from 1 species